GAAAAAUAGUUCCCGCAAAGGAUGGGAUCUAAUGGGGACCCCGGUCUUCCCGUAGGACUUGUUCUACAGCGCAAUCUCUCCAUUUCUCUCUGAGCUCUGAGAUAUUUAUACAGAGAGAGAAGAGAAGAGAUCCAGCGUAAAUAAAUAAAGACCCAAUUUUUAGUGAUAAACAGACAUCCGAGAGGACUUCUUCUUUUGGCUCUUUUGGAUUUAUAAUUCAAAGCUGCUGUGAAAUUGUUAUCAGAGAUCUGCCACCAGAGAGAAGCAAGGUAUCCAAUGCUGAAUUUUCAGUCUCUAGUCUCCGUACUGUAAAUGUUCCAUUCAUUUUUAGAUCUCUAGCUUUUUUCAUGUAGGUCCCAAAUUUCUGUUCAUACACAAAUGGCCAAUUUUCCUGGGAAAUUUGUCAUUUCUUGUGUAUUUUCCUAUCUGAUUAUCGCUUUGGAUUUUGGUUUCAUUCUCUCUCAUUUCUGAGAGAGGAAAGAUGUUUCUAAUUCUUGAAUUCCUCUCCGAAACUACCCAUUAAUUUUAUUUUUGUAAGGAUUUUUUUUUUAUAUAAUUUUCUUGGAAGUUGGUGUAGUUUCGUAUUGUCUUGGAAUUUGUAACUAUCUUGUCAUGGAAGAAGGUGGUGGUAGUGGUCGUCAUCGGAGACUCUCGCUAUUGGACCAAAUGUCAGCAAUUGAGAACCGCAGAGAGCUUGCCGGCUUGACUCUGGAUGACGUGUUGGCCUCUGACAAACGGCCAACGGUGGCGGUUUCUCAUACGCCUCCUCAGGCGAACAGAACUCUUUUGGAUAUAAUCCGCGACGAUGAGCCUCAUGGUUCCUUGUUUGGUAACAAGGACAAGAAGAGCUGGAAAGCCUUCAGAGAACGCCUUCGCCUUAAGCGCGCCGGCGCCGGCGCCGGUUCUGCUUGGACCUCCUCCGUCCCGAUUCCAGCCUCCGAUAUUCCUAUCCAGAAUAGCAACUAUAGUUUUGGCAACAAUAUAAAUAAUCCCAGAUCCCGCAAUUCGAUGCGUUUCACAAUAGUCUCCUCCCCUACCUCGGGCGAGUCAAGUCACACGGAGGACUCCAACGAUCAUUCUGCCGUUUCGAGUUCCGGACCGCAAAUGAUUCGCCGGGCAUCCUCCCGGUUCAGUACACUUACACCGUCCGAUUCUACACGGUUUGAUGAAUCAUCUACGAACAUUCACGCGGUGGGAGGGCCUCCAUCACGAAGUUUCAGACCGCAAAUGUCGCGGCACAAUUCAAUUCGGCCCUCCGAGUCGUUCCUAGACAGUGAAGAAGAGCCGGUGCGUGAAGGUAGCCGCCGUCUAGGAGCGGCAUUGGCGGAGGAGAGAGCAUUGUCUGCGAGGGAGGCAGUAGCGGCGCAGGAAGCGGCAGAGGCGGAGGCAGCUGCUGGAGCAGCGGCUGAAGCUGCUGCUGCUGCUGCGGCGGCAGAGCAAGAGGAAGAGGAGGAAGCUAAUGGUCCGGCAGACCAAGGGGCAGCGGGGGCGCAGCCAGUGAGGAUGUCAUUAAUGGACUUGUUGGAGGAGACAGAUAGGCAGAUGGGAUUGGAGGGGUCCAGAUACACAAUGGAAGAUGAAGAUGAAUGCGAGGAAGAGGAAGAAGAAGAUGAUGAAGAUGGAGCGGCUGACGGGAUAGAGCACACAUGCUGCGUGUGCAUGAUAAGGCAUAAAGGUGCGGCAUUUAUCCCCUGCGGCCACACCUUUUGCAGGUUAUGUUCAAGAGAGCUUUGGGUCCAAAGAGGUAAUUGCCCUCUAUGCAAUGGGUUCAUCUUGGAAAUUCUUGAUAUUUUUUAGUUUUUUUUUUAAAAAUUUUUUCCUUGGUGCCAUUGUGAUUAGCAAUUUGCUUCUCCAGAAGUGAACAAGUAGAUCCAAUACAAAAUGCCCAUCCUGCCUUCAUCUCUCUGUAGAUUUCUGUUUCCAAUGCACUUUUAGCUGCUAAUUAGGUCUAUGAAAUUGACUUUGAAGUGUUGACUUAUUAUCUUUGAAGAGGAAAAUAACAUAACUGCUAUUAUUGUCUUGUGGCUUGCUGGUGUCAAUUCAUCAUAGAGUGUGGGAAACUAAUCAUGGAUCUCAUGCGCUCAUAUUUGUCUUUCUGCAGUCUUCUUCCACAUUUGUAAAUUUUUAUUUAUUCUUUUGUCACCUUGUGCAUGAAGUGAACAAGCGCAUCCGAUACAACAUUCCCAUCCUUCCUUCAUCUCUCUGUACAUUUCUUUUUCCAAUGUUCUUUUAGGUGCUAAUUAGGUAUAUGAAAUUGACUUUGAAAUAUUGCCCUGUUAUCUUUGAAGGGGAAAAAAAAAAAUUGCUGUUGUUGUCUAGUGUCUUGCUUGUGUCAAUUCAUCAUAGAGUGUAGGAAACCCAAUCAUGGAUCUUCAUAUGUACUCAUGU
rnacentral:misc_RNA from 1 species